AUACGUAGGUGGCGAGCGUUGUCCGGAUUUACUGGGUGUAAAGGGCGCGUAGGCGGGAUAGCAAGUCAGGCGUGAAAUACCGGAGCUCAACUUCGGGGCUGCGCUUGAAACUGCCGUUCUUGAGUGCCGGAGAGGCAGGCGGAAUUCCUAGUGUAGCGGUGAAAUGCGUAGAUAUUAGGAGGAACACCAGUGGCGAAGGCGGCCUGCUGGACGGUAACUGACGCUGAGGCGCGAAAGCGUGGGGAGCAAACAGGAUUAGAUACCCUGGUAGUCCACGCUGUAAACGAUGAAUACUAGGUGUGGGGGGACUGACCCCCUCCGUGCCGGAGUUAACACAAUAAGUAUUCCACCUGGGGAGUACGGCCGCAAGGUUGAA
rnacentral:rRNA from 1 species